GGUGUACGCGGGGCUCUUGAGGCUACUUUGUGCAUAAGCUAUCCUUAGGUGUAGUAGGGAGAUGUUAACUAAACUAUAACUUAAAUGAGUGAGAUAAACUCUACAAAAAAUUGUUCGUCAAAGUUGGCUUUAAAAGCUGUCUUUAAAACUUGUUACAUUACAACAUUCUCAUUUACAGUUGCAAUUUCAUUAUGGUGAAUUGAUUUCAAAGGAAGAAAGAUUCUUGAUUAGAGCCCAAGCAUUGCUAGUUAAUUGAGCUACAUUUACAAUGUAAUUUUUAAAAGUGCCCUUAAUUUUCCCAUUCAUAGCAUUUCCUUCAAAUCCAUUCAUGCAGGUAGGUAUCUUCAUCUGUCAACGCAGCACUAACCCGUCAUAACACUGUUCAUUUCCUUUUCAAAUUCUGGGCUUUCCAAAUUCUUCCUAGCUGCCAAAGAUUUUCAGACCUCUGUUCUCCACAAAAUCAGUUAUUACACGUGCUUCUCGGGAAGCUAAAUUGCUCAUUUUCGACAACUUUGAUACAGCAUCCAAGGUUGACUGAGCAGCUUUGAGAUUGACAGUGAGAGCAGCAUUUGCUUGGACUAUUCUGGAUGGAGCUAGCAUAAGAUGAGAGUCUGUUCAAACAUAGUUUUGGGUACAAUGUUACUUCACAUGAUGUUUUGAUGAAUUGUGUGCUGGUGGAAUGGUCGAAUCCUUGUGGCUGAGCAUGUAAUGGCUACAAGGCUAUGAAAGUAGAGUAGCUUUGAGAGAAGACGAGAGUCCAAAAAGACUCCUUCACUUGAGGAGUAUG
rnacentral:lncRNA from 1 species